rnacentral:rRNA from 1 species
AAUAGAUACCGGGUAGUCCACGCCGUAAACGAUGGAUACUAGCUGUUGGGGGCGACCUCAGUGGCUAAGCGAAAGUGAUAAGUAUCCCACCUGGGGAGUACGUUCGCAAGAAUGAAACUCAAAGGAAUUGACGGGGGCCCGCACAAGCGGUGGAGCAUGUGGUUUAAUUCGAUGAUACGCGAGGAACCUUACCAAGGCUUAAAUGCAGACUGACCGUUUUGGAAACAGAACUUUCGCAAGACAGUCUACAAGGUGCUGCAUGGUUGUCAUCAGCUCGUGCCGUGAGGUGUCAGGUUAAGUCCUAUAACGAGCGCAACCCCUGUUGUUAGUUGCCAGCGAGUAGUGUCGGGAACUCUAACAAGACUGCCAGUGCAAACUGUGAGGAAGGUGGGGAUGACGUCAAAUCAUCACGGCCCUUACGCCUUGGGCUACACACGUGCUACAAUGGCCGGUACAGAGAGCAGCCACCUCGCGAGGGGGAGCGAAUCUACAAAGCCGGUCACAGUUCGGAUCGGAGUCUGC